GGAUGACACAGCUUUGUGUGAGGACCUUUAUCAGUUUACCACUCUGACUCUGCACUGCACUCUCACAGUGACCUGAGGAGCUGCUUCACUCAUCACUGACCCAGCCUUUAGACAAGAGGAGAAGCUCACACACUGUGCAGAGAUGAUGGUGAAGGUGCUGCAGGGGGCGGCUGUACUGGCCUGGUUAUUGAGCUCAGCAGCUCUGGGUGUGGUCAGUGGGCGGACUGUCCGAGCUGCUGCUAAUAACGACGUUGAGGUUUUGACUGAAGCUCUGAUUGACGACUUCAAGCAGUUCAUUAAAACGCAGCUGGAAAACCUCAAAACAGAAAAUAAAGCUUUGAAGACGGAGCUGGAAGUUUACGUCUCCAAACAACAGUCAGUCCUUCAACAGGUGCAGGAGAUCCAACAGCACAGCAGUGAUUUGGAUGCCAAGAUUGCAUCAGCUGCCUCCAAACAGGACCUGCAGUCAGUUGUACAGAAGGUGGACGAGCUGAAAACGAAGGGAGAUGAGCCAAAAGUGGCCUUUUCAGCCACACUUUCAAACCUAGAACAUGGUCACAAAUUCUUUACGUCAAAGGAAGGACUCACUCUGGCCUACACAAACGCUUUCACCAACAUCGGCAAUGCAUAUGACCCAAAUACAGGUAUCUUCACUGCCCCUGUGAAAGGAGUCUAUUUCUUCAGCUUUUCUGUCUUCAACCCGUAUGACUACUCAAGUUCAGCCCCACAGGUUGGAACUGGAGUUGCCCUGAUGAAAAACGAUGCCCGUAUCCUCUCAGUGACCGAUAACCCUCCAGGGGUAGACACAGAGGACACUGGGGCGGGGUCAGCCUAUCUCCUGUUGAAUAAAGGAGACCAGGUGUAUCUGAGGCUCUUGAACAAUCGCAAGAUUUAUACAAAUGGAAACAAACGAAACACUUUCAGUGGCCACCUCGUCUUCGCAAUGUAGACUUUGCAGUGCUUUUGAAAGAGAUCACAUCCUGUCUAUCAGUUAUCAAUAUUUCAUCAUUGAUUUUAAGUGAUUUGCUGUGACUAGCUACAGAAGUAUGUGGACACAUGACUAUCACACCUGUAUAAGCUUGCUAGACAUCCCAUUCAAAACUACAGGCAUUCAUAUGGAGUAUUCACAAUAUUCACAAUACUAUUACACAAGAGUAGCACUUACAGUUGACUGGGGCAGAUCUAGCAGAUCUAAUUUCAUUAACAAACAGUGCCAUGUUUAAAGUCAAUGAGCUCUUCAGUACUACCAUUCUGCUGCCAAUGAUUGUCUAUGGAGACUGCAUGGCUUUGUUGCUUGAUUUUGUACACCUGACAGCAAUGGGUGUGGCUGAAACACCUGAACUCAAUAAUUAGGAGGUUUGUCCACAUACUUUUGGCCAUAUAGUGUAUAUCUACUAUGGUGUAAUCUUAUUAAAUCCCACAUGAAUUUGUUUUAUUGUUUAAUUUUUAAUCAGCUGAUCCAUUUAAUGCUUUUCCUGAAUGAUUUAUUAUUUUUCUCAGCAUUAUAAAAACUGUUUUUGUCUGAUAAAUUCUCUGAAUAAAUCUGGCAAAGGCA